rnacentral:sRNA from 1 species
GCCUCUCCACUAUUACUUAAAUUGCUACUCUGUAGGCUGAAACAGGAGGAUUGCUCGAGUCCAGGAGUGCUGGGCUGUAGUGUGUUAUGCCAGUCGGGUGUCUGCACUAAGUUUGGCAUCAAUAUGGUGACCUCCUGGGAGCCGGGGACCACCAGGUUGCCUAAGGAGGGGUGAACCAGCCCAGGUAGGAAACAGAACAGGUCAAAACUCCUGUGCUGAUCACUGUUUAUAUUUUAAUGAAAUCAAUUCUGUAACUAAUUGUUGCUUGAGAGUAUUUCUG